UUCUGAUUCUGUGUUUCCCAAGGUCUGUU
rnacentral:piRNA from 1 species